UGCAGGAACACGUUCUUCGUUAUGUUCUCGACAUGGAAUGUGGACAAAAGUUGUUCCAAAAUACGAAGGAUAUAAUCCCGAUUAUUUUGGACACGAUCCCCGUGGGGGACUUGUGGUUGAUUUUCGACCCGAUCCGGGUGCCCCUUAUCUGAGUAGACAUUGUCGUUGUUACGACCAACCACAACCACAGAUCUACGAACCUCUUCAAGCUUGUGACUUGCCAACAGGAUCAUGUCCAACCCUUACAACUAGUCGACCCAUCUCGGCCAGGAGCCAUUAUUCUGGUGUUGAAGAUGCCGGAGUGGCAACAGAAAUAGCCUAUCGUAUACAGAGAUAUAUAGACUACCACAGACCACAAACAGAUCCCACGGGUAGAGAAUAUGAGAAUCCACCAAGACAACAAUUCCUAAUCGGAAGAUAUGUUCCCCAUUUCUGUAGUUUCGUUAACCGAUUACCGUUACAUGAACGACCACAAUCAGCAUUUCGAACACCAAGAAAAGGUUGGGCUGCUGUAGAAACAGAUGCUACAGCAGAUGACAGUACCGGUAUAUUAGAUUUAUCAAGUAGGAGAAGUUUUAGUACGAGUGGUUAUGAAGGAAGAACUACAUCACCAAGUUCAGUUGGAAGUCACGGAUCAGAUGGUGGUGGUGGUGGUG